GAGAUAACAUUGCUGAAGCCAAGUCAAGUGAAUAAGUGUCUUGAUCAGAAGCAAAACAAGGAUAUCAUCUCUCCACACCUGAAAUGCAGAAAUUGGGACAAUUUCCCCGCUGAUGAGAAAAAGACCAUUGGUCCAUCAUUUGGAAGUCUGAGCGGGAGUGAAGACCCUUGGCCUGUACUCCCAGCCAUCCUUCCAGUGCUUAGCUGUCCAGAGGUGCUGCUGGUCCGCCAGCUCAUCCAGAUCACAUCUGAUCACACCACGCCUGAGGACACGUGGCCAGCGCCAAGGUCACUGGAGGACAGACUUCCAGAAUACUUCAUGAAGUACUCAAGGCAGCUGUUGAGUAGAGAGAGGCUGUGUGAAGAUAUUCGGCCGUUGGAAUUCCGAUCACCAGAUGAGCAGCAGGAUGCCUGUAACCUUUUGCAGCUGUUGCUGAUAGAUAAUAUUGCAGUGGGGCACUGAAGAGUUUGGAAUAUCCACGGAUCCCUAGACUGAAAUAUUGGAUAACUAAGCUGUCAUACAUUAAAUAAAGAGAAUUGAAAUAAGAAAUACA
rnacentral:lncRNA from 1 species